GAUGAACGCUAGCGGCAGGCCUAAUACAUGCAAGUCGAGGGGUAGAAGAGGCUUGCUUCUUUGAGACCGGCGCACGGGUGCGUAACGCGUAUGCAACCUACCUUCAUCUGGGGGAUAGCCCGGAAAAAUCCGGAUUAAUACCGCAUAAAAUCACAGGAUGGCAUAUCCAAUGAUCAAACAUUUAUGGGAUGGAGAUGGGCAUGCGUGUCAUUAGCUAGUUGGCGGGGUAACGGCCCACCAAGGCGACGAUGACUAGGGGAUCUGAGAGGAUGGCCCCCCACACUGGUACUGAGACACGGACCAGACUCCUACGGGAGGCAGCAGUAAGGAAUAUUGGUCAAUGGAGGCAACUCUGAACCAGCCAUGCCGCGUGCAGGAAGACUGCCCUAUGGGUUGUAAACUGCUUUUAUUCGGGAAUAAACCUUAUUACGUGUAAUAAGCUGAAUGUACCGAAGGAAUAAGGAUCGGCUAACUCCGUGCCAGCAGCCGCAGUAA
rnacentral:rRNA from 1 species